GAGGGUACGGUCCGAACCCCCACAUUGGGACUGAGACACGGCCCAAACUCCUACGGAAGGCAGCAG
rnacentral:rRNA from 1 species